rnacentral:rRNA from 1 species
AACCACUUUAUAUAACAAUUAUAAAACUUUUAGCACGGAUCUCUGGGCUCUCGCAACGAUGAAGAACGCAGCGAAUUGCGAAAAGUAAUGUGAAUUGCAUAUACCGUGAAUCAUCAAAUCUUUGAACGCACCUUGCACCAUUGGGAACUCCCGAUGGUACGUCUGUUUGAGUAUCAAUCAACACCUGCAAACUUUGCUUUUAACCGAGCCAUACUUUGCAUAUCGAUUGGAUAGAUAUAUUACUACCGAUUUAGAUACAUAGUCUAGCCACGCUAGUCAACAGAGUUUAACACUUCUGAGUGAUGAAUGUAGCAGCAUGACUGGGGCUCUUGAAGUCUUUAACUUUGAUCUCAAAUCAGACGAGGAUACCCGCUGAACUUAA